UUUCCGUAGGUGAACCUGCGGAAGGAUCAUUAUUGAAUAACCGAGGUACGAGCGCUGUCGCUGACCCGAAAGGUCGUGCACGCCCGAGUCCCCUCACACACAUCCAUCUCACCCCUAUGUGCACCACCGCGUGGGUCCCCCUUUGGCUUGUUCGGAGGGGGGCUUACGUUUUCACACAAACUUUGUAUGCAGUGUAGAAUGUAUUUUUUGUUUUUGCGAUCACGCAAUCAAUACAACUUUCAACAACGGAUCUCUUGGCUCUC
rnacentral:misc_RNA from 1 species